UACGUAGGGGGCUAGCGUUGUCCGGAAUCAUUGGGCGUAAAGCGCGUGUAGGCGGCCCGAUAAGUCCGCUGUGAAAGUCGGGGGCUCAACCCUCGGAUGCCGGUGGAUACUGUCGGACUAGAGUGCGGAAGAGGCGAGUGGAAUUCCUGGUGUAGCGGUGAAAUGCGCAGAUAUCAGGAGGAACACCGAUUGCGAAGGCAGCUCGCUGGGACGUUACUGACGCUGAGACGCGAAAGCGUGGGGAGCAAACAGG
rnacentral:rRNA from 1 species